UGAAGGCAUGUAAAACUCU
rnacentral:tRNA from 1 species